rnacentral:rRNA from 1 species
AUGCUGCCCGCGCGCUUCCUCAAGCUCUCGCUGCUACGCCGCCUCGGCACCGCCCGUGCGGCCGGAGUGCCCCCGCCGUGGCAGACCAGGCAAUUUCCGGUGCGGGGUUACCAGCCUCGAGGUUAUUCUACCGGAGGAAGCUCCAAGUAUGAUAGACCGAUGAGACAGUUUGCUGAAGAGAACGAGUCAAAUUCUCAGCCACUAAUAUAUUACAUUGUCCCAUCUGCCAUUCUAGCCUUUGCUGGACUAGCCACUUAUGUUCACUAUAAUGAUGAGAAGCGUGCAGUUCCCUUAGGUAAACAAGCACAACAGAACAGUAUUCCCAAAAGGUGCACUACCAACAGACCUGCAAUCGGAGGACCAUUUAAGCUCUAUGAUACAGAAAACAAUGUGGUGACUGAAUCAAAGCUUCGAGGGAAUUGGACGCUGAUGUAUUUUGGCUAUACAUCAUCCCCAGAUGUGGGGCCGAACGAAGUUGAGAAGAUCGCUGAUGUUGUUAAGCUGUUAGAGUCAAAGUAUGAUAUCAAGAUUAAACCACUCUUCGUCACACUUGAUCCUCAACGUGAUUCACCUGCUCAGCUUAAGGCAUAUCUUAGUGAAUUCGACCCAAGAAUAACAGGAUUAACAGGCUCAGUCGAUGCAAUAAGACAGAUGGCACAAGAAUACCGCAUUUUCUUUAAAAAAGUUGGUGAAGUUGGUCAGGAUUAUAUUGUAGAAAGUUCUCAUAACAUGUAUUUGCUAGAUCCAUGCCUGGAGACAGUAAGAUGCUUUGGAGCUGAGUAUAAGGCAUCAGACCUUGCUGAGGCGAUAACAACGGAGAUCCAGAAAGCAUCUAAUUCAGCAGCGAAGUAG